rnacentral:rRNA from 1 species
GGCGUAAGGGUUUGUAGGCAGCUUUAAUAUUAUUAAAGAUUGAAUCAAAUAGAGGUCAAGAGAAUUCCUAGAUUAGGGUUGAUAUCUGUAUAAACUAGGAAGAAUUCUAAUUAGCGAAGGCACUUUUCUAUCUAAUGAUUGACGCUGAGAAACGAAGGGGAGGAUCGACAAUAGGAUUAGAGACCCUGGCAUCCCUCUCUGUAAACGAUGAAUGGUAGUUGCUAGUAAUAAUUAUUAGUGACGAUGCUAACGCGUUAACCAUUCCGCCUUGUGAGUACGACUGCAAAGUUGAAAACAAAAAAAUUAGUCGGUUUCGGAGCAAACGAAGUGAAGCAUGUUAUUUAAUUCGAUAAUCCGC